UGAACAAAAAAAAAGAACGGGAAAAGUUGAACAAAAAAGCUGGCAGCAGCUGAGAAGGUUGCGCACAAACGAGACCCCCCCCCUGCGCGUCUUCUUCUUCAACCCCCCUCGUUCUGAACCUUCUUCAACGAAGAAGAACGCUAGGAAAAACGAAAAAAACGGAACAAAAAUCCAAACAAUUCCUAAAGACCUAGGCUGAAGAACGAAAGACAAAGAAAAAGGGCUGAAGAGAACGGAAACAGCUGAAACGAAACAAGCAGCAAUACACACAAAAGCUGCACAAAAACAGACCCCAUACCCCCCGUUUCCAUCUUCUCCAAAUGACCCAUUGCCAUUGUUCAUUUUCUUCAGCAGAACAACCCAAAAUAGUGACCCUUCGCCGGAAAUCACCACACCCCACGCCUGACCUCACGCCGAUCACCCAAACGAUGACCCUCUGCAUCCCCCCAUUAACCAAGUUCGCCGGAAUCAAAAAAAUCCCGUCAUUGUUGUUUCUUCUUCUUCUUCGCAUGGAACAGACAUGAACGAUGCACCCUAGAGAAGCCCUUCUUUCUCUCUCAAAGGGUAGAUCGAGUGACAGAAAAACCGAGUAGGGAACGGAAACUAAGGUUCGAGGUUCAGGUCAGUCGCCGGUUCGAGUUCGGGUCCGACAAGAUCGUCCGUUCGUUAAUUCUGUUCGCGAUUCAAAUAUUUGUUUGUUGAUCUUCGGUUAUGUUUAUCCUGCUUAUGAGUGUUUUAAAAUGUGGAAAUGAAUACACCUAAUAUUCAGGAGCUUCGUUUUUGUUGAUGCUAGUAUUGGAUCUUAGUUGUGUAUUGAUAGUUUGUGAUUGGUGACGCUUUUGUUUCGUGGGUUUCAAUGUACAUCUAAGCUAAGUUGGCAUUUCUCAUAUACUUGUGGUGCCCCGAAACUAAGGGCGAAUUUUGAUUAAAAUGUGGGUUUGAAUUCGUGCUUGGUUGAGUUUCCGGUGACGAUUCGAGAUUCCGUCCGUUUUUCAGCUUUCCGGUGUUAAUUCGGUUCCCGUCUGCGAUUCGUUGCAUCUCGAGUUCAAAGUAGUGAAACAAUCAAUAUUUCGGCUAUAUUGAGAAUGUGUAAUCUGGGCCCAUUAAGUCUACUUGGAGCUCAGGCCCAACUUCCAGACUUGGGCCACUCCCUUGAUUUCCCGCUUGAUUGAGUAUGCUGCUGAUUUAAAACUUGUUGGGCCUGGCCUGCUUGCCAGCGCAACUCCAAGAGUCCAGUUCUCCUUCCUCCACUUUUAAUUGUAUUUGUUGUUCUUUAUUGUUUUUGUGUGUAUACAUACUUUGGAAAACUAAUUGUAUUGGAUAUUUUGAUA